GACGAACGCUGGCGGCGUGCCUAAUACAUGCAAGUCGAACGCACAGUUUAUACCGUAGCUUGCUACACCAUAGACUGUGAGUUGCGAACGGGUGAGUAACGCGUAGGUAACCUGCCUGGUAGCGGGGGAUAACUAUUGGAAACGAUAGCUAAUACCGCAUAAUAUUGAUUAUUGCAUGAUAAUUGAUUGAAAGAUGCUAUUGCAUCACUACCAGAUGGACCUGCGUUGUAUUAGCUAGUAGGUGAGGUAACGGCUCACCUAGGCGACGAAACAUAGCCGACCUGAGAGGGUGAUCGGCCACACUGGGACUGAGACACGGCCCAGACUCCUACGGGAGGCAGCAGUAGGGAAUCUUCGGCAAUGGACGAAAGUCUGACCGAGCAACGCCGCGUGAGUGAAGAAGGUUUUCGGAUCGUAAAGCUCUGUUGUAAGAGAAGAACGGGUGUGAGAGUGGAAAGUUCACACUGUGACGGUAUCUGACCAGAAAGGGACGGCUAACUACGU
rnacentral:rRNA from 1 species